ensembl:lncRNA
CAAAGACCUCAGUUCCAAAUACCAUCUGAUCACACUGGGCAUUAAGAUUCAAAAUAUGAGCUGGGGGCACACGAACACUGAAUAUAUAGCAUGAGCUCCUUCUUCAAUCCAAGGAGAGAAACCCUCACCAGAAACCAGCCAUGAUCCCUCGACCUGAAUGCAAUGCAACCUCACUCCUAGAAGUGGGCACUGGGGCCCAAAAAGGGAGAGCUCCAGGAGAAGUCCUCUAGUCUUUCUCAUGGAGGUGGAAGGCAACGCCUAACGCUCAGAAAAAGUGUGGAAACCCCUGAGGUGUUCUCUUCUCCCUAGUCUCCUGUACUCCAGAAAUCAAGCAGUCCCCGUGGUGGUGAUGGGGAGGCCACAAUGGCAGCUAAAGAAGUCAGCGCUGUAAGGAAGGGAAACCUUUCUCUCUGAGUGGUGGAGCUGUGACCCCAAGAAGCUUUUCACCUGUUUAAGAGAAGUGACAUGUACUCACAAGGUAAGAACUGAAAACACUAUAAAUCUUUUGUCUUGAGACCAUGAAGAAACAAAGUGCACCAAUAACAAGCCUGUUGUGGUCAUCUGAUUUCCGCAAAAUAGAAGUGAAUUUAAGGAAACAAAGUGAAGGAAUAAAACCAUUAAAUUAGCAGGUGUCCAAAAAUGAGGGAAGCCCCAGGAUACAAGGAAG